rnacentral:rRNA from 1 species
UACAGAGGUCUCAAGCGUUGUUCGGAUUCAUUGGGCGUAAAGGGUGCGUAGGCGGCGCGGUUAAGUCGGGUGUGAAAUCUCGGAGCUUAACUCCGAAACUGCAUUCGAUACUGCCGUGCUUGAGGACUGGAGAGGAGACUGGAAUUUACGGUGUAGCGGUGAAAUGCGUAGAUAUCGUAAGGAAGACCAGUGGCGAAGGCGGGUCUCUGGACAGUUCCGUGACGUGAGGCACGAAAGGUCCAGGGGAGCAAAACGGGG